AAAUGCCUUUGGAAAGAUAUUGAAAAAAUACAACAGACUGAAUGACAUGUUUGGUUUUUUCCCACGUCACUUGAACAAUGCGCGGGAAUGAUUGUGAAAUACAAUGAAGAAAGAACCAAUGAGCAAACGUUUGUCUGAGAUACACUUACAAUGAUUGGCUGUAAUUCUUUUUUUUCUUCUAGGAAGUGUAUUGCAUUCUCAAAGGAAAGCAUUUCUUCCUCUACAAUGUACUUUGGGAAUGUAUAAAUCUUCCUUUUAAUGUAUUAUAUUUACAAAUUUUGUAAAAAUAGCUGGUUAAGGUUAUUACCAGAGUGUUAUGAUUGACGUCAAUGUGUUUUGCACUAUGGCUGUUAGCAAAUACAUUGGGUAAUAAAUACAGUUAGAUUUGUUUCAACGUUACAGAGUUACACCAGCCAUAUUCUAUUGUUUCAACGUUACAGAGUUACACCAGCCAUAUUCUAUUAACAGGUAAUUAAAAUAAAACAGUAUUGGUAUGCAGGUGGGUUUUUUUCAUAAUUAUAACAGCACUUUUAAGUAAACCUAGCCAAUAUGUUUCCUUCUGAAUUAUUGCUAGACAGAUACAAGUAAUCUAAAGAAAUACCACAUUGCUCUUCCCUGCAUUUUAAUGUCAUUCAUUACACAGCACAUAACGAAUUAGUUUUGUCGAUGAGGUUUAGAUAUUCAUUGUGUAAGUAUAAAUAACAGUUUAAAUGACUUCAGAUAGUAUCUUGUUUGCAAUGGCUAAAUAUAUUUAUUGCCACUUUUUUGCACUUUUAGUUUAUAACACUUAUAGGCCCAUUUUACCACACAAUGUACUACUGAAAGUAAUUUUUAUGUGUGUUUGCUGCUUUUUAAAUCCAAGUUGGAUUCUUACUUCCUGGAAGCUGCCCUUAGCAGAGCAGUUAUAAUGAAAAGUUGGUAAAAAUGGAGAUCAGGAAUGAUCGAAAAUUAGACAGACAGAGAGGGACUCAACAACACACAUAGACCUUCCCACUUGCUUAAUGGGAGUACACAACUGACAAAUAUUUAUAUAAUGCAGUACCCGUAACAAAAGAGUAAAGAUUAGACAACUGUAGUUAUUCUGCUUUUCGCUUCAUUUUUAUUUAAAAACAUAUUUCAAUGUGGCGUUUAACUAAAAUAACAAGAAUGAUCUCAGUGAUUUUCAUCGCUUGUCAACAUACUUAGUAGAUAUCUAGUUAUAAACAUUAGCAAAGCCUGCUGUUUCAGUUAAUAACAUAAUGCUAAAAUCACAGACAUCUCACAUAUCUAAUAUGUAUGUUUCCUUUAGAAUUUAUGAUAGUGUUUCUGUGUGUCAUAAUAGCUCAACAAAUAUUGCUGAAUGUCUUUGGAAAACCUUAAAAAUAAUUUCCAGUGGAGGCUUAAAAUUAAGGAGGGAUUUAGUGUCUAGUAUGAAGACCCAGAAUUUGGCAAUGAACUCUGCAAUUUAACUGAAUGAAGAUACACUGGACAAGGAGAGAGAGGCAAUUAAGGCAGAGAUGGAGAAAAAGAGUCCAAACCUUGCUUUUGUAAAAGCGAGUAUGGAGCAGACUUUUUCCUUUCGCUGAAUGGAGGUAGUUGAGCAGACACCUGCUGUUGCCCAAUCAAAAAGAUGGCCUGCACUGUUUUUGGAAAAUCAGAUAUGCAAUGAGUUUCACAGAAUUGCAAGUGUAAACCUGAAGAGAGAGAUCCUUGCUGCAUUGGACACACACACCCCAAAGCUCUGUACAGAAUCCGAAAAGCAGCUUAUGGAGAACAGAUGCAAGUUCUUCUUGAUGAGCUAGACAAACAGACUUUAGACAUGAUAAAGCACAGGCAUGCUAUUGCUCUAAGAGAUCACCCCUUGUUUUUAAGAGAUGCCCUCAGUAAAGUUCAGAAGACCUGUUUUGACAUUAAAGCGUCUCAGAGAAAAUCAUGUCUCGACCCAAGAUUUUUUUAUUAUAAUAGAGAGACAUUUGCCUCCAAGAUUGCAUUCAGAUUGGAGUUGGUACAUGCUUAAAAACUAGGACUGAAACUUAAUGACCACUGUUCACCUAGCAUAUUACAGGUGCUUUACCAAAAUAACACAAUUCCUGUUAAACAAGUGUUUUUAAUGUUUCAAAUAUACUUCCCAAUUUUGAAGAGUCCUUCACAAAGGAUGUGACAAUGGAAGUCUUUACAGUCAUGGAUGACGGAGCUUUUCAACAUUCACAAACAGAUGAAGUUUACUUUGCCAUUGUACUGUACUUGAAGACAACGUUGUCAUCGAAAGAAUUAGUGACUUACCAAGUGCACUUUUUCUCCUCAUUGGCUCACUAUAUGCCCUGAACAUCGGGUAUCCCAAAUAGAUUAGGUACACUUUUGAAGUAAUCAAGAAAGUCUUGGCAACAAUUAUUCAGCAAGGGUCCUGUCUUUCAACAAUAAGCUCCUGCAGCAAUUCUCUGAGUCCUGACCGUAUCUCUAGAGACAUUUGAAAUGUGUAUGGCCUUUUGAUUCCUUUCUUCCAAAUUUUUUUGUAUUUCUCUUACAUUUUGGGAAGGCCUAUUUACUAAAUUUCUUGAAGCCCUUCUAUAGUUUAUACCUGGAUAAGGCUGGCACUCCAUAUGUUCAUAAAAUUAAUAAAACAAUAUCUGUUUGUGCAUGAAAAAGAAAAAAAAUAUACUCCUGCGGUUUUUGAGAAAUUAAAUAUUACAUAUUAAAAACAUAAGGCUGCACAAACAAACCCGACUAUUUUGUAAAUUGAUCGGGUGAUUGAUAAUGUUACAUUAUUGAAUGUAAUACAGUAUUUGAUUUCUCAAAGUGUAUUAGCACAAAUGUUCCUUUUUUCAUUCAUAAAUAAAAACUUUUAUG